ACCGGUGUUCUGCAGUCGACGAUUCCUACGGGAGGCAGCAGUGGGGAAUCUUAGACAAUGGGGGAAACCCUGAUCUAGCCAUGCCGCGUGAGUGAUGAAGGCCUUAGGGUCGUAAAGCUCUUUCGCCAGGGAUGAUAAUGACAGUACCUGGUAAAGAAACCCCGGCUAACUCCGUGCCAGCAGCCGCGGUAAUACGGAGGGGGUUAGCGUUGUUCGGAAUUACUGGGCGUAAAGCGCGCGUAGGCGGAUUAGUCAGUCAGAGGUGAAAUCCCAGGGCUCAACCCUGGAACUGCCUUUGAUACUGCUAGUCUAGAGUUCGAGAGAGGUGAGUGGAAUUCCGAGUGUAGAGGUGAAAUUCGUAGAUAUUCGGAGGAACACCAGUGGCGAAGGCGGCUCACUGGCUCGAUACUGACGCUGAGGUGCGAAAGUGUGGGGAGCAAACAGGAUUAGAUACCCUGGUAGUCCACACCGUAAACGAUGAAUGCCAGUCGUCGGCAAGUAUACUUGUCGGUGACACACCUAACGGAUUAAGCAUUCCGCCUGGGGAGUACGGUCGCAAGAUUAAAACUCAAAUGAAUUGACGG
rnacentral:rRNA from 1 species